UUAUUCCAUUGUCUGAGAGCCUCUGUCAUAAGAGCGGUAACACCGCUGCUUGGGGAAGGGAUCUGCUCUCCUGAAAUCGCCGCCAGAAGCUCCCCUGCACCCCUCGCCGCCGGUUAGUCAGUCUCCUGUUGGCUUGGCCUGGCCAGAGCAACCGAAGCGGCUGUGGUGAAAAGGAACCGGACCAGCAGCGGAGGCAGCAGAAGCAGUCCCCCUCCCUGCCCGAGCUCUCUUUCCUUUCCUUCUCCCGAACCCAAGCAACUAUCCCGGCCAGAGGUCUCCGUGGGAGCCCCUGGCGUGCAGCCCCACGCAUGUGUGCCACGACAUGGACUUUAUGUUGCUGUGGCUGGCCUGGAACUUACUAUGUGGACCAGGCUGACCUCAAAGUCACAAAAAUCCAACUGAGUAUUGGGAUUAAAGGAGAUCUGAUCUGCCACUCCUCUGGGGGUUGCAACCCACAGGUUAAGAAGCACCUGUGAUGAAUGCUUUCAGCUGCUGCUCCAGCAUCUGCUGGAGCCUGUCUCCUUCCCAUCACGAUGAUCACGGACUAACCCUCUGAAACAGUGAG
rnacentral:sRNA from 1 species